ACAAAAGUCAACUACUGCUGAGGCAUGGGCUUAAUAAAUGUUGACUAAAAUAUCCAACUCAGCAACCAAUCCUGUAUAAUUUUCAAACUGUCAGUAACUUGCUGGGGACGACCUACGGACCUUGGCCAUGUGACGGAUGAAGAAAUGCACUCAGACACAGACCCCCUAUGAAAGACCAUGUUUCUUCUCAGCCUGCUCAGUCCAGCUGAGCCAGCUUUCCACUGGCUCCUGAAUGUGAGGACACAGGCUCCCAGGACCAUCCAGAAGCAAGUAUCUCUCAUUACCUUAAAGCUCUGAAAUACUAGCUGGGUACAGAGGCUCAUGCCUGUAAUCCCAACACAUUCAGAGGCUGAAGUGGGAGGAUCGCUUGAAGCCAGUAGUUCAAGACCAGCCUAGGCAGCAUAGCAAGACCCCAUCUCUACAAAAAGUACACCCCAAAAUUAGCUGGGUGGGAUUACAUGCCUGUAGUCUCAAUUAAUUGGGAGGCUGAGGCGGGACUAUCCCUUGAACCCAUAAGUUUGAGGCUACAGUGAGCUAUGAUCACACCACUGCACUCCAGCCUGGGAGACAGAUUGAGACCAUCUCUAAAACAACAACAGGCUGGCACAGUAGCUCAUGCCUGUAAUCCCAGCAUUUUGGAAUGCCAAAGUGGGUGGAUCACCUGAGGUCAGAAGUUCGAGACCAGCCUGGGCAACCUGGUGAAAUCCUGUCUCUACUAAAAAUACAAAAAAUUAGCAGGGCGUGGUGGCAGGCGCCUAUAAUCCCAGCUACUCAGGAGGCUGAGGCAGGAGAAUUGCUUGCACCCAGGAGGAGGAGACUGCAGUGAGCUGAGAUCACGCCAUUGCACUCCAGUCUGGGCAACAAGAGCAAAAUUUUGUCUCAAAAAAAUAAAAAAUAUAUAUAUAUAAAAAAAAAACAACAAAAAACAAGGAGACACAGAAAACUGAAAUAUUUUAAGUUUCAUUUUAUUAUUGCUUGUUAGUUGAUUAAAGUAAUUCUGCUUCCACUUACUUUAUUUUUAAAGACAGUAAUUGCUACACUGAAUAAAACCUUAAUGAAGUUUCA